UCAAUCUCUUUCCCUUCACCUUCUUAUAGUUUUUUUUUUCAAUCAAUGAAAUGGAUCAGAAUCACAAGAAAAAACCCUCAAAAAACAAAGGAUACUAUGUUAAAAUGAAACUCAUGCAUAAACAUGGUAUUAGACCUCAACAACAAGAAAAAAACCAUUUUCAUAAAUAUUACAAAUGGAUUCUUUGGCUUUCUCUUUCUCUCUAUUUCUUCACUUCUUACCUCAUUAGCAACAACAACAAUCACAACCACAACAACAACAUAAAACAUCAUCAAAUAACAUCAACAAUAAAAUCACUUUCUCAAUCCUUAUCCAUCAAAAAAACAACAUCAUCACCUCAAACACUUCAAAAAACUAGUUUGAAAAACUUGAAAAUAUUUGUGUAUGAUCUUCCACCAAAAUACAACAAAAACUGGCUUAAAAACCCAAGAUGCAAAACUCAUUUAUUUGCUUCAGAAGUUGCUAUUCAUAGAGCUUUAUUAACAAGUGAUGUAAGAACUUUUGACCCAUAUGAAGCUGAUUUUUUCUUUGUACCAGUUUACGUUUCUUGUAACUUCAGCACCGUUAAUGGCUUCCCAGCAAUUGGUCAUGCACGUUCAUUGAUUUCUUCAGCAGUGAAACUCAUCUCCACCGAGUACCCUUUCUGGAACCGUAGCACAGGAUCAGACCAUGUCUUCGUAGCUUCACAUGAUUUCGGUUCUUGUUUCCACACCCUGGUAAAAACUAAAAACUAAAAAACCAACAACUUCAUGUUACAAAUGUUUUUUUUGAGUUUUUCUAAUGAUGAUUUUUUGUUUUUGUUUUUGGGUUUUGAAGGAGGACGUGGCAAUGAAAGAUGGGGUACCUGAAAUUAUGAAGAAUUCAAUUGUGUUACAAACUUUUGGUGUUACUUAUGAUCAUCCUUGUCAGAAAGUUGAACAUGUUGUGAUACCACCGUUUGUUUCGCCGGAAAGUGUACGGAAUACGUUGGAGAAUUUUCCGGUGAACGGACGGC
rnacentral:lncRNA from 1 species